rnacentral:rRNA from 1 species
AGAGUUUGAUUAUGGCUCAGGAUGAACGCUGGCGGCGUGCCUAAUACAUGCUAGUCGAACGGGAACCUUCGGGUUCCAGUGGCGAACGGGUGAGUAACACGUAGGUAACCUGCCCACCGGAGGGGGGACAACAGCUGGAAACGGCUGCUGAUACCGCAUAGUCCGCUCUGCCGCAUGGCAGAGCGGGGAAAGGUCCUUAAGGGGACCGCCGGGGGAUGGACCUGCGGCGCAUUAGCUGGUGGCGGGGCAACGGCCCACCAAGGCGACGAUGCGUAGCCGACCUGAGAGGGUGGGACGGCCACACUGGGACUGAGACACGGCCCAGACUCCUGGCGGGAGGCAGCAGGUAGGGUAAUUUUCGGCAAUGGGGGGAACCCUGACCGAGCAACGCCGCGUGAGCGAAAGAAGGCCUUCGGGUCGUAAAGCUCUGUUAUGAAGGAAGAAUGACCCAUACAGGAAAUGGUAAGGGGAUGACGGUACUUCAUGAGGAAGCCACGGCUAACUACGUGCCAGCCGCCGC